UUAAUUGAAACCAAAAUAAAGGUAAAUUAUGGUUAAUAAUUUCAUUGAUUCCCAAUUGAAAUAAA
rnacentral:tRNA from 1 species